UGGACCCUUGUUUGCAUGGUCCUCUGCUUGUGUUGAAGAAUUCUGUUUCUCCAGUUAAAAGGAAGACUGUGUAUCCUCUCCAAGGGCCAGGAUUUUGUAAGACAUGCAUGCACCUGUCACAGGAAGGGCCUUCUGGUUUGCUGAUGGCUUGGAAAAUCAGAACUUCUGCAUUUCAACCAUUCUAGAAUCAGACGUGCUAAGCUGACACAGUAUGCUACCCCUGGGACAUCUCCAGGACCUACACAAGGGACACAACUGGAGCUGACCCCAUGCAGGCUUGAAAAUGGACACCUUUUUCCUAACUUACCAAAAUCCAAACCACAAAAUAUUCAUCAGGGUCAGCAAGUCCCCUUGACCAAAGGGAUCACGCUACAGACCCUGGGAAAGAGCAGACUGGUGGGCCUCAAUAAAUGCCAGUUUCCUGUGCUUUGCCACCAACAAUAACGAAACAUCAAGAAAGCAGAAUAAAGGUGUUAAUAUAGAUGUUCUCAUUCCUGGCAAAUGAAACGCGUUCUAGCAGAGAUACCUCCAGAUCCCUGCUUGCCAUGGGUUCAGGCCGCAGCCCAGCGGGCCCUGCUAAAGAUGUUAAGCAUUUAACACC